rnacentral:tRNA from 1 species
GCGAAGGUGGCGAAAAUGGUAGACGCGCUAGCUUCAGGUGUUAGUGUCUGUAAAAGACGUGAGGGUUCAAAUCCCUCUCUUCGCACCA